CUAUUUUGCAUGUACUUUUGAAUAAGGGUCAAUUUUAUUUCAAGCUCCUGGGAUGACCUUUAAGGUUUUCUUUAAGGCUUUCUAUAUGUUUCGGGACAGGAUGACAAGGAAAUGACAGGGGAGCUGACAGCUCUAUUAACUGCAGGAAAAGGAUGGGCGAGAGCUGUGUUGAAUCACCUCUGGAUAACAAGCUGGAUUUCAGAAUGCAGCCCCAAUUCUUGCAGGACAAAUCACGAUGUGACAGGAAGAAUUAGAAAGGCACCUCUCAGGAGCACAUACGUUCCAGUUCCAUACCUUCUACAUGCUGGCCUGGAAGCUCAGCUUUACAAAGCACAUGAACCUUUGAUCAGGGGAAUUUCAGAUAAACUGCAACAACUGAAAACUUUGCAAAGCAAAAGCCCUCCUGCAUUCCAGGAGGUGAGAAAGUGUUCAGCACUAACACCUACACAAGUGACGAUCACCAGGAGGUUGGACUCAUUUGCAGUGACUUCUGCUCAUGGACCUUUUGGAUGCCUGAGUUGAACAAGGACGUUGCAAAUUAGAACCUGCUCACAACUUUAUCAAUGGAUUAGGACAAAACAAGAACCGCACAUUCUAAGAAGACUGGAUAUUAUAUUAAUGACAAGUCCACGAGAGUAUGAACAAGCUGCUGCAGUUUAAUAAAAAGCAGAAUUUCCUAGACUCGCAUAAACUAUUAGCUCAUUGACUAAAAUAGACCUGCUGUCUCUGUUUGCUGUAGAAGCCCAGCUGCUCUGCUGAUCUCAACAAAAGAACAAUUGCAGCUACAAUAAAAACCCUGGGAUCUUGAAAAACAUGAGACGAUAUCAGCUGUUAAACAGGAUAGAAAUAACACAGCAGUGAAACUAAUAAAUAAAUACAAACAGGUUUAAGGUGUUCUCUUCAGAAACACUGUCCUAUGGGUU